CAAGCUCCAUUAAUGCCUCCAGGGCCCUGCUAAUUGCUAGGUCCCACCUGUGGCAGAGUGAAUGUGUAACUCCCAAGUGUAACUAGACUUCCAAUCAACAUGUAUCCUCCUGGAAAACUGUCAGGAGAACUGAAGGAUGGAGUUGCAUGAGAAGGAAGUAGGGUGUCUUCCUGCUUCAAAGACUGAAUGCUGUCUGCUGCCCUGAAGGUGACUGCGUGCAGCUUGGUUGGGCUGGCAUCUCAUUAUCCUUCUGCUGCAGGCUUCCAGCAGCUCCCCAAGCAGGGAGGUUUGGAGGCCUUUAGCUGAAAGCACAGCAACAUCUCCUGGAACUGGGUGGCUAUUGCAAGCUCAGCUGUCAGUGUCAUCCUUAAAUCCCAAGUGAAGAUAUUCACUCAGUUCCAGAAACUCCAUGUUGGCUCCCAUUGUACCAGUGCUUGACAUGAGGCUGUAUUUAUUUACCUCCUGGUGUGGCUUCACCCAUCAUACACCAUUCACUGGUGCAUUCAGGUGCAGAAAAUGGCCAUUUAGGUACAGUUUUGUGAUGCACUGUGACCAACCCACGGGAGAGGAGGCAGACAGCAUUCAACCGCUUUUUUGCUGAGCUGAUGGCAAAGCUGAUGUUUGGGCUGCCAUGGCUGGACGAUGGGAUUCGUCAUGCUGUGGGUGAGAAAAGGGAACUUAUUCCUGUGUUGUGUCUGAAGGAUGUGGGAAAGCUUGUUGCUUUCUGCCUUCCUGCAGUCUUCUCCUGUUUUUCCUCCAACAAAUAGGGCAACAAAAACAUAAAUGCUGUCAGUGGAAGCUUUAGUUUUGCUUUUUGGCUGAAAUUCCAGGAGAGAUGUGCCACCAGUAAGGCGCUGAUGAGGCACAGGUUGGGCUGCCCAGCGUUCCUCAACCAAGAUUUUGCCUCUCCAAGCUCUUUGCUGCUUCUGUGCCCUGUUCAGGGGAAGGAAGGGCUCUGCAUUAUUUAAACCUCGCUGUGCUUUUUCCGAGAGACACAUCUUUCCCUUGUUGUGACAACUAACCAACGGGGUCACGUUGCAGAAGAACAUAAGAGCCAGGAUGGGGAGAGGGAGUGUGGAUGUGAAUGCAGAUUUCUUGUCUGGUGCAACACAAAGACUGCUUGUACUACAGCGCGCCCUGCAGCAUUAUCUGCCAAAGGUUUUGUUUCAUUUCGGCUGCUGUCCUUGUUACGUCUGGACUGGCUAACUAGUAUUUUAGGUGCUCCUGGAACAGUUUGGAUGUAUUCCUGCAACUUUCACUCACAUCUCUAUUGCUGUUCCUUCCUCCUGCCCUGCGUGAUCAUGGCAGUAAGGUCAUUUCUGCUUCCAGAUGGGCUGAAAUCUUUCAAGCAGGAGGGAAACUCCAUCUCUGCUCAUUCCUGUCUCCUCCUGACACUGACAUCCAGUUGACAUCAGCUUGUUUGAACAACAAUCCAGGACAGAACAGACCUCAGGAGUUCUCUAGCCAACCUUAAUGGAGGGACUGCUUGAGCUGCUCCCACAAGCAGAUGAACUUGGAUUACAGUGACAGAGAAGCAGUAUCAAGCAUUUAUGCAAAGGACCCAAACCCAUAACUUAUUUUACAGAUCUCCAAUCACCAACCAUUUCCAGAAGUGACAGUUUUCAAGGCACACAGUCACUCCGGUUGCUUUUUCCCACUGAUGUUUGGGAGGCUCUGCAAGCAGAAGGAUAACGGGUUUUUGUACCCGCAGUUUGGGAUGUUUAGUACGCAGAGGCACUUCCCAAGCAUUCCGUGAGAACAAAAAGCCCUUUUCCUGACUGUUUACAGAUGACUUGCAAAGAAUAAGCGAGAGGUUUGAGCAUCGCUGAGCCGAACAGCUGCCGAGAAUUCAAAUCCCUGGUUGCAAGCCGUGCUCUUUCCACCAGCUCUGCUUUGAAAAAUGCAGGACUGAGGCAUGUCCCAAGCUAGAGCUGUCCAUCAAGGGCACGGUGAAGGGGAAACCUUGUCUCAUUUCCAUUCCCCAACUUGCUCUUUGAAAGCCGAUUCUUUAAGCGUUACCAUUUCUGGAAGCUUCUCAGUGUUUGGGUUCCAGCUGUGAUCUCGUGGGCUUCAAUGAACUUUUUCGAGCUGGAAGGAGGUUGCAUGAACAAUGACAUGAAGAUGACUGCUUGCAUCUGUGUGCACUGGGACGUAUCAGUCCCUGCAAUGAAUAAUGUACAUACCUCUACCUUUGAUUUUUGCAGCAUUGGUUUUCUUGCAUUAGCUCUGUAAGACAUAAGGCUGACUUUCCAAAUUUUCUAAGCUCUCAAACUGUAUCUUCCAUAAUCAUAAAGAACUGUGCUGAAGAACACAGAAUCUUCCAAAGCCAGGCCAGCCCCAAAUCCUGUGUUGUCAGUGUCUGCAGUGGGAAGGGCUGAAACAAAGUCACCUGUAAGGUGGCAUGCACAUCCCCAGUUAUCAGAGCUAAUGCUCUGUGCCACCAGGGAACUUUCUUACCUGAAACAGAGAUAUUACGUGGCAGAAACAUUACACUUCAAUACCAGCAGUGGGCUUUAGUAAGCUUGUUUUGCUUUUCCUUAUUUUUAUUUUUUUUUAAUGAAUUGGAUAUCCUUGAAGUUCUGCGGCAGUUUGGGACAUUUCUUUCCUUGCAGGUGGUGCAAAGGAGCCCUCAGGAGUACUUGGCUCAGACUUUACAGAAGGCAAACCAAGCACUCAAAUGUUAUGUGAAACCAAACCAAACAAAAUCAAAAGAGCAAUGCACCUUUCUUAUGGAGGUGUUUCUCCACAGCUGGUGUAGCUUACGCAGAAGCCCGGAGUGGUACUGCAAAGCUUUUACAGGGCUCGUUAGGGCUGACCUACACUGCUGUGCUUUCAACUUCUACAUAGAGGCAUCUUCCAACUCCUGCUAACAGCAGCGUGGUAGAGAUUUCUCCCCACUUCUGAAACAUAGUUUUGUUCUGCUCCAAGCCUCAGCUUUGUUGGAGUGGCCAAGGAACCUUGAAGUAAGGGUGAACCUACGGUGACUGCUUUCUCUAAUGCAUAUUUGCACAUCAGCUUCAACGUAAAACAAACACCUUCCCUGCCAGAUGUAAG
ensembl:lncRNA